UUUAAAUGUCGAUUCUCUCUUCUGCCAUUAAUAUAGUCGUUGGCUAUUUUUGAAGGAAAAAUUUGUGUCUCUUCUCAAACUUUUGUCAACAAAAUCAACCUUAAAAGGAGAAAUCAUGCAAUUUCUUUAGAAGGAGGGACUCGGAAAAGACUAAUUUAUGAUCCAAGAUAGUUAUUUUGAGAUUGGCGAAGAGAAUCAAGGAGUUGAAAGAAGCAUUGACAUUUUAGGAAAGUAAUAGGAAAUGGGUGGGGAAGGAGGAGAAGAAGAUCAAAUGUUGUAAUUGAAAGCUCAUCGUCAUGAUUUUUGUGGUGUUUUUUCUAUUUUUGACAAGUAUUACCAAGAGAACGGAUGACAAAUGUAGUUGUGUGGAAUUGAAAUUAUCAUAGUCGUUCUCUUGUUCUACUUUACAAAAUAGUGUUUGUCUUUUCUUUUGUCGGAAUAGUUGUUGCUUAACAAGAUAUAAUUUUA